rnacentral:lncRNA from 1 species
UCUGUGGUACACACACACACAAAAGAAGAUAUUUUGCUGCCCUGCCCUGCGCACCGCCGGCUGACGACUCCCCUCCUGCCGGCUCUCCAGGAGGCCCACGCCUACUUCUUCUGCGUGGAGGACCGCGCGCUGCUCUGCCGGGCCUGCGACAUGGCCGUGCACACGGCCAACGCCUUCGUCUCCGCGCACCGCAGGUUCCUCCUCACCGGCGUCCAGGUCGGCCUGCAGCCCGCCGCCGCGGCCCAGGACGCAGACCCGCACCCGCCCGCCGCCGCGGAACCCCUCCAGACGCCCCCGCCGCCCGACAGGAAGGCGGCGGCGGCCGGCGACGGCAGCAGCCCGGCGCUGCUCUACAGCGACGACGACAUCGACUGGGCGGCCGGCGCGGACGCCGGCGGCGGCGUCAGCGUCGCCGUCACCCUGCCGGACUGGUCGCUCGUCCACGAGCAGUUCGGCGCCCCGCCGGUGGUGCCCCGACACGCGGACCCGGCGCUAGCCAGAACGCCCUCUUCCAAGCGCAGUCCCCGGCGGUCGGUCGCCGCGGCGUUCACCGUCCAGGGCGGCGGCGGCCUUGCAGGGGGCUUGCCGGACUGGCCGCUCGACGAGUUCUUUGGCUUCUCCGAGUACAGCGCCGGCCUCGCCUUCGCUGAGAAUGACACGUCCAAGGUCAGCACUCAGUUCUCGAUUCUCAGAAAUGGCCACUGAAUGGAAUAAUGAUGCUGGCAAAUUCGUUUCGAAUCUAUCUGCAUGUAUACUUUGCCUGAACGUAAUUUCGGCAGCAGACUCCGUCAUCACUGAGCGUAGUUUUUUAGUUCAUGAUGCAAGCUCGCUUGAAUUUAGGCAACUGCAUGCGUCAUACAUGUUUCUGAAUUUUGAUUACAGAGCAAGCGAACUCUGUUCACAGCCAAGUUCGAACAUCUGACGAUGCAUACACCUAUAUAUUGUUG